rnacentral:pre_miRNA from 1 species
UUAAGGAUCACCUGGGGAUCUUGUUAAAAUGCAGAUUCCGAUUCAACUGUUCUGGGGCAUGGCCUGAGAUCUGCAUUUCUACAAGCUCCCAGGUGGUGCCUAU